UACGGAGGGAGCUAGCGUUAUUCGGAAUUACUGGGCGUAAAGCGCACGUAGGCGGCUUUGUAAGUAAGAGGUGAAAGCCUGGAGCUCAACUCCAGAAUUGCCUUUUAGACUGCAUCGCUUGAAUCAUGGAGAGGUGAGUGGAAUUCCGAGUGUAGAGGUGAAAUUCGUAGAUAUUCGGAAGAACACCAGUGGCGAAGGCGGCUCACUGGACAUGUAUUGACGCUGAGGUGCGAAAGCGUGGGGAGCAAACAGGG
rnacentral:rRNA from 1 species